AGGUCAGGCGGGCUGGAGGGGCGAGAGCUCAGCACUGGCCCUGGGGUCUUGGCACUGUUUCAAAGGCUGGCUUCAGAUGCUUAUCAGCUGGCUCUUGCACAAGGCCUGGGAGGAGAUCGCAUCAGAGAUGUGAAAAAUGCCAGGGAAGCCAAAACAACUUUCUUUAAAUAGGGCUCAGGCAAUAGGCCGGGUGCUUACACUCCACCUUGGCCUUGUGAAGGAAAAUGCAAACAUUCGCCCAGAGUUGGAGAAGCAAACAGGCACCUUAGAGGAAGACGGAGAACUGACUCUAAGAGACGCCAAGACACAGGGAAUGCAAAGAAAGCUAUCCACACCCUUCUCCUAAUCAUCUUGACCUGCAAAUGACACGUCAUUUCUGAUCACACUCUGUAGGAGAAGUUACUGCAUGACCCCACCUACAUGCAAGAGGAGCCAGGAGAUGGAAUCCUGUCUGGACAGCCACUUCAGCCCAUGGAAAGUGAAGCACAAUUUGUUGGUGGACAACUAGCUCUCCCUGCCACCACCCACCUUUGAAUUUCCUGUAACAGUUAUUUCCGUGCAUGGCCCAGGAACAAUGUCUUUGCCCAGUUUCAGUUCCUAACAGGACAAAGGUUUUCAGAUUUAAAUGAACUAUCAGUAAAUGGCUAUACCUAA